rnacentral:lncRNA from 1 species
UUGGCACUAUCCCCUUGGUAAUUUCCUCAGGAUAGUGAGUUCUCACUAUGCUUGUUUAAAAGUGUGUGGCACCUCCCCCUUCACUCUCUUUGCUCCUGCUCUGGCAGUGUGACAGGUAAGCUUCUUCUUUGCCUUCUGCCAUGACUGGAAGCUUCCUGAGCCCUCCCCAAAAUCAGAAGCCUGCUAUGGUUCCUCUACAGCCUGCAGAGCUGUGAGCCAACUAAACCUCUUUUUUUUUUUUUUUUGAGAUGGAAUCUCACUCUGUCAUCAGGCUGGAAUGCAGUGGCACAAUCUCGGCUCACUGCAACCUCUACCUCCCAGGUUCAAGCGAUUCUCCUGCCUGAACUGAUUGAAAUUUGAUGUCAAGCCUCAAGCUGGGAGUAACAGGAGGAAGUGAGCCUCUGGAAACUGCUGUUCUACCGAGGACUCGUGAUCGGCUGCACCUGGCUAGAUUCUGGACUAUCACUGCCCUUACCAGCCAGCUUCGGCCAGCUAAAGUCAGCUGCUCUUUGUGGUUGACAUAAAUUUCAUUUGACAUUUCUACUGACUUCAGAAACUUUUGCCAAUAGAACAUGUGAUGGGGAGACCAGUAUGAAAUACUGAACCUCCUCCUGCACGCCUCCACGCCCUUGUGUAACCUUCUGAUCAUUAUAUAUAUAUACACACACAUAUAUAUCAAUCUUUAUACACACACACAUACACUCACACACACACACACAUAUAUAUAUAUACAGUCCCUUCAGUGACACAGCAUCACCGUGACAGCCACUAUAGCAGCACUUGCAACCUAUCAGUGGUUCUUAAUUCUGGCUACAUCUUAGAAUCACCUAAGGAGCUUUAAAAAAAAUGGCAACGUGUGGGCUCCAUCCCAGACAAAUUGAAACCAAAUCUCUUUCACAGGUAAGACCUGAGUAUCAGAGCCUUUUAAAAGCCCUAGAGGUGAUUCUUAUGCACCAUGUGGGGCUGAGAAUCACUGUUACCAGGCAGGCAGUGAGGUAAUGCAGUUCCCCUACUGAAGUGCAGGUCUGUAAGAACUUGGUGUGCCAAAUGUAAAUUCUCAAGGCAGGGAUCCAGGCACUAAAUAAUGCCAUCAUUGUUUACAGUUCUGAUGGGACCUAAUCCAUCAUUUCAUCCAAUCUCCUUAGUUUUCACAUGUGUAAAUAACUCCAAAGAUGUGAGUUGCCAAGGUUACCUGAUUUGCUCUUCUCCCCAGAAGAUCUGAGAGCCCCUUCAGGCUGGGACCUCACAGCAGGGCACUGCUUUCUGGCAAAAGCCCUCCCUCUCCUGAUUGUCACUGGCCCAGCUUCAGGGGAAGGCGGCCCUUCUAGCACAAUGCCAGAUGUGGGCACCUUUCUAGCUAGGCCUCUCCUCACCCAGCUCAGCAGCCUUGCUCACCUGAGAUGAAUGCCUAUCAAGUCACAGAUGCCACCAAGAGGGCUGGUGCAGCAUCACUAAGAUCACACAGAAUGUGCCGCUGUGAUCAGGAUGUGAGCUGCCCCAAAACAAGAUGGGGCAACUGCAUUUCUGGAACUGCCAGAAAUAUUAAUUCAUAUCAUUACUACAAGUUCCUUCUUGAAGACUUCUGAGUAGACACUGGUUAGUAUUUACAAGGACAUUAAAAACCUCC